GGAAACAGCAGGAAAUGUUGGGAAGCCAAAGUCUCUGAUGAAGACCAGCACAGUCCAGAGAGAAAAGACCAACAAACCUAAUUAUCUUCAUUUAUCACCAAGAAGGCUGUCCAUUGGUAAUGAAACUCUGGUGAGUCUAGCUGGGGGGUGGGGGAAUACUAACCUUAUGAAUUGUCUUUGUUGUUGUCAUUGAAUCGUGACUCAUUUGUGGGCUUAUUUGUGUAUACUAAAUAGCCUGUCCUGACUUCAAGUUGAAGUCCACAGGUCACGCUGGGGUAUAGGAAGGAAGACUGGCAUUUCAGUACCUUGGAGAGCUCAAAGUGAGCAACUUGCUCAGGAAAAAGCUGAAGUUUGACUGCAACCUUGUCACCGUACUUACCUCUCCUGUCUACUUCCCUGCCUGUGACUUUUUAAAACAAGGACCCCCUGGCCUGGAGUCCUCCUGCAUCUGACAGUAGCAGGCAUUGUGGAAUGGGAUGUACUUGGUUCCUUGCAUGAAUCAGGCUCAUGGGGAGUGGCCAUGAAGUUCCCUGCUUUUAGGGUCCACAUGUUGACAACCAUCACCCCUGGGUUCAGAAUUGGUAGCCUCGUUCUGUUCUUCAGCCAGUAGUAUAGCAGCCACAGCCUCAAUUGAUUCAAUCUUCCAAGCAACUUGCCUAUUGUUUAGAGUCAGGGACAUGACAAUUAGCUUCCCGCACUAAUAUGCAUAUUACAUUCCUGGUAGCAAUAUUUUCUAAUUUUGAAAUGACACUGAACAAAAAUGCUAAGGAGAAAAACAAGAAAAUCCAUCAGCAAAACCUUUGGAAAUUUUUGUUUACCUCCUGAAUCUAUUCAGGGCCAAACGUUGCAAAGCAGGCGGAUAUUUUUUAAAUUGCUCUUCAGCGUUUGCUUCCUCCCAUAUGGUAUAGUCUGAAAAUUGUUUCAGCUAGCUCUGAUGAAUAGGUGAAUAUUCACAGGCUCUGUACAGAUAUUUUGUACUCCAGGUGAGAUGGGGAGGAGGCCAUCACUUCACUAUAGGGGAGACAUGAAUGACUGGAUCAGGAGAUCCCACAUUUAUUUAAACACAUUAUCUCCCUGAUUGUGUGAGGUUAAAAUUGCUGGACCAUGUGAGCUUGAGUAUUACUCCUGAUCUUUAUGCAGCUGCUUUCUAGGCAGUGAGAAGUGGGGAUAAUUUCUGAACAUAGCCUCAGUCUAUGCAACUGGUUGUGCAGAUAUGAACGUGGGUAUAAAUUUGCUCAUAUUAGUGUUUCCACUGUCUGUUCCUUGCCAUGUUUUAAAUACAACUAGCUCUAUAAACUUUUCUUCUUCCUUUUCAUUCUUACCUUGAUAAUGACUUUUGCAUCCAGAUAUUGGAGCCAGCUAGUUCUUCUCCUGAGCGUGUCUUCAAAGUCGUGUUUCUUGGUAAUUCCGGAGUUGGCAAGAGCACCUUCAUCCAUCGCUUCUGCUACAAUAGAUUCCUGGCCAGGAUCAGCUCAACUAUUGGUAACUGAGGCUCCCAAACUGCAGAAAGGAGAGACAUAAGGGAAUUUAAGAAGUGCUUAAGUGAGGCCUGUGCCAUGUGCUCAACAACUUCUGCAGCAUAAAUAUUUGUGAACUACACCCGCCCCCUUUUCAGUACUACUGUAAACAUGGCACUAUUCCCCAUGGACAUUCCACACUAUGUAUUCCUUUAGCAGUAUAAUGUUUAAAGUCAACUAAUGUUGAGAUUUUUUUUAAUGGGGCUUUUGGAAUAGUUACAAAUGGAUAAGGACAAGCUAGGUGCUAAUUCAAAUCACAACCAAUCAGUCAGAGGCAAGGUUUAUAUAUAUUUUGAAAGGCACAAUGGCAGGACGCAUGUAGUCUGUUCCUUCACCAGGCCUCUUGUCAAGUCCACUCCUUUGCUGCUGUGAUCAUGGGACUCUUAACUUUGCUCUGUGUCAGGUAGUGGCGGGGGGGGGUAGGGGAUGGAUGAGAGGACUGGUGGAGGGAUGGUGAUAAGAGCAAAUGGUGGCUACUUUCUGUCUUAGUGCCUUAAGAACAUUUAAAGGCAUUAACUCCCAAAUCCCUACUAACUGAUGGCCGUUGGGAAGACUUUUAACUUCCAAUUGUGGUAGCAUACCAGAUGCUGCACAUGCUGUCCAAGCAGACAAGAAAAUAACCUGCAGCCCACUCUGUAUAAAUAAUGAACCUAUUUGCAAGCCCACCCCCUUUUUCCAGCCCUGACCAUCUACUGUUUUCUAUAGCACUUUUAAUUUGUGAUUAUGCUUUACAGGCUUUUCUGUGGUGCCUUUUUCACAACAGUACUGCGAAGGAGUUCAUUGCCCCCCUUUAACUGCUGGGAACUGCAGCUAAGGUUGCCCCGUCCCAAGCCCAAAGUCACAAAAGGAGUCAAGCAGACAUGCUUAACCUGGGAAUCCCAGAUUCAAAGUCCAACUCUGCCCCAUAGCUGCCAAGUUUUCCCUUUUCUCGCGAGGAAGCCUAUUCAGCAUAAGGGGAAAUCCCUUAAAAAAAGGGAUAACUUGGCAGCUAUGCUCUGCCCACUGUGCUAUCCUGGCCUUAGACUCCUCUUGUUUCUCCUGCAGGCAUUGAUUAUCAGGUGAAGAGCUUGAUGGUUGACAACACGCAGGUGCUUUUGCAGCUAUGGGAUACAGCUGGGCAGGAAAGGUAAAGGAUUUUGUGAGAUUUAGAUCCAUAAAGAGCCCUAAAAGCACACUGUGAUACUGAAUAUUUGGAGACUUGAAACUUCUUCCAAAAUUUCCAGAUGUUCUUGAACACUAACAGCAAUAACUGACUAGUGUAAUACUUCACAUAUCCAGUACUUUUUUUUUUUUGCAUGAAAGACUCUUGGAAUCUGACCACUUAGUUUUAUUUAGAAAAAUGGAAGUACUGUAUGUUGCACACAAACAUGUGUAGCAAGUCCUGAUGACCAAGGUAUGAGUGGGCAUUUAAAAUAAAACUUAUCUUGAGGAGAGAGCAAUAUGAAGCAGGGGGACUCAUCUCACUCUAUAGGCCGAGGGGGCCAGCAUUUGUCCGCAGACAGCUUCUGGGUCAUGUGGCCAGCAUGACUAAGCUGCUUCUGGCGAACCAGAGCAGCGCACGGAAACGCCAUUUACCUUCCUGCCGUAUCUUCCCGCCAUUUACCUUCCCGCCGUAUCCCGCCUAUUUAUCUACUUGCACUUUGACGUGCUUUCGAACUGCUAAGUGGGCAGGAGCUGGGACUGAACAAUGGGAAUUCACCCUGUCAUGGGGAUUCGAACCGCCGACCUUCGGCAAGCCCUAUUCUCUGUGGUUUAGACCACACCACCACCUGUGUUCCUUGUGCUCUUUGCUGCUGGUGGCAGGGGGGGAAAGAAACAACAGGAUCAGUCCAGAUGACACAGCAACCAUUGCACAAGACCAACUACAGUGGUGCCAGACCUCAAUGCUAGGAGGUACACAGGAAGCUGCCUUUUGCCAGGACACACUAUUUGCAUAGCUAGCUGAGUAUUGCCUAUGGCAGGAGUGGCCAACCUUUUUUCAACCUCUGGGAACACACCACAACCUAUUAUAUUGGCUGCAAUCAAAUGCUGUCUUCAAGUCUAAUUCCAACAGGGGAAAGGGUUAUUGUCAUCACAUUGGAGGCCCCUGGUCUACUCUUGACUGGCAGUAGCUCCCCAGAGUUUUAAGUAGAUGUCUGUUCUUCAAAAGGAAAUGAAACGAAACAUGCCAGAAAUUGAACCUAGGAACUUCUGCCUGCAAAGAACACACUCCGCUAUUGAGUUAUGGCCCCUUUCAAAACUUUUCCUUUGUGAUACCUACUGUUUUGGCACAAGCAUUGCUUGGGAAGCUGUUGUCAGCAUGUAACCCAAUACCUUGCCCAGUUGAAAAUCCUCAAUUCUUCCAGGCUGCUUCUAUGGAGGGCUCAGCCUUCCAAAGGAAACAACUGGAAUGUGCUCCAUUUUGUAAGUGGAGACAGGCCUCCGUUUUGAGCUGUUAGCAAUAAAGAGACCACACAGAGGGAGUCCAAAUCUAGGUUCAGUUAGGAGUAGUGGAAUGUCUGUCAAGAUACGAAUGCAUUUAAGGUUCUCAGAUUUUGUUUGGCAUUAGAUUCCAGAGUAUUACCAAGCAGUAUUUCCGAAGAGUGGAUGGCAUCCUGGUCAUGUAUGACAUCACAGCAGAGUGCUCCUUCAUGGCGGUCCGAAACUGGAUGAGUUGUAUCCAGGAUGGGAUUGAAGAUGGUGCAGUGAUAUUUCUGGUUGGAAACAAAAUGGAUACAGCAGACAAAGAGGAACCCAAAGUCUCCAGGGCUGAGGGGGAAAGGCUGGCAAAGGUCUGGUUCUCUGUAUCUCCCUUUCCUCCUUACACCAAUCUCCUUCACUGCUAACAAACUUUAUGGCAUCUUCCAUAACUGAUGGUAAUAUUUGGAAAUACUUAAGGGAGUUGUUCUGUGCAUGAAAAUAUUUUCUAGGAUGGUUCUAUACAGAACGAAGUGAAUUAAUAUUUCAAGGUAGAGGAUCUGCCUUGGGAAUAGUCGAUCAUAAGGCAUCACUUUGGAAGCCAGUCUCCUUACAGAGUAAACCUGUUUGGGGUUAAGCGUUGGUGACACCGGGAGGUAAAUGAAUGUGUUUUACAGAUCAUAACAGAACAGUAUGAGAAUCAGGUAUGUGAGAAGUAGGGACCUGGGGAAAAAUUCAUGCUGCUCAGGGCUAUGUGUGAAUUACCUCUGUGUCUCAAGCAUUCCUGAGCAAAACCUUCUUCCAGUAUUCAAACCUUAGAAUGUUACCUUGGACUGUUUAAGGUUUUGUGAAAGGCCCCCACCAAAAAGAACUCAAUGUGAGUGAUUUACAUAAAUUAGGUACCUCAUUGAGAGAUAGCAAGGAACCUUUAGGAAGGCAGAGUAUCUUCAGUUUUCAUGAAGGUCAACCUUGAAUAUAUUAAUGGGUAUAGCAAGAAAGGGGAGAAAUGUGAUUCCAGUGGCAGACUCUGACAAUUGUUGAUUGAAGUUACCUUCUGCCUUCUUUCCCUCUUUUUGCAGGAAUAUAAAGCUGUCUUCUAUGAGUGCAGUGCAAGGACUGGCUAUAACAUUCAGGAGCCCAUGCUGCACAUGGCAAGGUCUGUGCAAACAGUUCCCAUAAAACUGGAAAAGGAGCAGAAGCCACUUCAGUUUCUCACCCA